AAUUAUUUGCACCUGUGCUCCACCAGAAGGGGUGGACCCAGGAUGGCUCCAUCCUGGGCUCGUAUAAGGGCUAGCCACUGAAGGGAGAGCAUCUUUGGGUUACUUUAAAGAGUGGAGUGAAGUAGUGAAAGGUUUGCCUUGGUCCUCCAGAUUAGAAACUUUGCCAUCAGUAUUCAUUCAGAGUAAGAAGGUGAAGUAAUUGCCUCAUUGAGGACACAUGUGAAGCCCCAAUAUAUUCAAGUGCUA